rnacentral:tRNA from 1 species
CGGGGAGUGGCCUAGCGGUUCAGGGCACCUGACUGGGGGUCAGGGGAUCGCCGGUUCGAAUCCGGCCUCCCCGACCA